ACGGGGCGCAGCAGGCGCGAAACCUUUGCAAUGUGCGCAAGCACGACAAGGCUAAUCCGAGUGUUUCCUGCUAAAGGAAUCUUUUGUUAGUCGUAAAACCACUGAUGAAUAAGGGGUGGGCAAGUUCUGGUGUCAGCCGCCGCGGUAAAACCAGCACCUCAAGUGGUCAGGAGGAUUAUUGGGCCUAAAGCAUCCGUAGCCGGCUCUGCAAGUUUUCGGUUAAAUCCAUUUGCUUAACAAAUGGGCUGCCGAAAAUACUACAUAGCUAGGGAGUGGGAGAGGUAGACGGUAUUCGGUAGGAAGGGGUAAAAUCCUUUGAUCUAUUGAGGACCACCUAUGGCGAAGGCAGUCUACCAGAACACGUUCGACGGUGAGGGAUGAAAGCUGGGGGAGCAGACCGGAUUAGAUACCCGGGUAGUCCCAGCUGUAAACGAUGCAGACUCGGUGAUGCACUGGCUUGUGGCCAGUGCAGUGCCGCAGGGAAGCCGUUAAGUUUGCCGCCUGGGAAGUACGUACGCAAGUAUGAAACUUAAAGGAAUUGGCGGGGGAGCAC
rnacentral:rRNA from 2 species